AAGACCGGAUCUCUAGCCCCAAGGAGUCUGGUUGGGGAAAGACCUAAUGUGGCUAGUCAUGGAGGGCACUUAGCAGAAGGAUUCUGAUCAGGGAGCUCAUGUAAAGCCCAAAGGAAGCAGAGUUUGAGUUGGGCUUGAAGAGUGAGUACCAUAUUGAUGCUCUGAGAUAUGGGGGAAGGGUCUGGAAGCAGGGGACACAGGGCUGGGUAUUAGUGGCAUUCUUGGGCAGAGUCAUCUGCAUCACUGGUGGGGAGAGGAAAAGGCAAAGGACGAAUAGGAAAUGGUGGGCUGUUGCCAGGCUGUGGAGGGCUUUCACACGCAUCUUAAGGAGCUUGGACUUUAUUCUGUAGCUAAUGGGGAUCCGUGGGAAGGUUUUUGAGCAGGGAGGUAACUCAAUUUUUUUAAAUCAGAAGCAAACACGUCAAUACAUACUCAUUGAAAGAUUUCAGCUGUACUAUAAGCAAAACAAUAAAAAUGCUACCCUUCCUAGACGUAACUACUGUUCUUCUUCAUGUCAUUUUAUUUACCUAUAUCCGUAGAUACAGAUACAUAAAAAUCAAGCCCUAGAAGUGGGAAGGAAGAUGGUUCUGUCAUCUUUUGUUUUCUCUCCCUGCUCCCCACCCCCAAUCACACCUACCUUUUGCUAUUUAAAGUUACAUAAGUGAGGACUGUAAUCUAGGGAAGCCUGUGCUAUAUAUCUUGUCACUUGGCUCAUUUUGCUUUCCUUUGUUUUAUUUCAGAACAUGGUUUUAUUGGAUAUUCACCAGAACUGCUGCAGAACAACACUCUGCCAGAUUACAGCCCCGGCGAGUCCUUUCUCACUGUCUUCGGGGUGUUCUUCCCAGCAGCUACAGGAGUCAUGGCCGGCUUCAACAUGGGGGGCGACCUCAGGGAGCCUGCUGCCAGCAUCCCCCUGGGCUCCCUAGCAGCUGUUGGCAUCUCGUGGUUUCUGUACAUCGUCUUUGUCCUCCUGCUGGGCGCCAUCUGCACCCGAGGGGCCCUUCGCUAUGACUUCCUGAUAGCAGAAAAGGUGUCCCUGGUGGGCUAGGAUCCUGUUCCUUUUGGGCUUGUACAUCUCGUGCCUGGCCUCCUGUAUGGGAGGCCUCUACGGAGCACCCCGGAUCCUGCAGUGUAUUGCCCAGGAGAAAGUGAUUCCUGUGCUGGCCUGUCUGGGGCAAGGGGCCUCUCACUGCUGUGGUCUCUCCCGUUGCGGAGCACAGGCUCCGGACACGCAGGCC